rnacentral:misc_RNA from 1 species
GAUGAAGAACGUAGCGAAAUGCGAUAAGUAAUGUGAAUUGCAGAAUUCAGUGAAUCAUCGAAUCUUUGAACGCACCUUGCAUCCUUUGGCAUUCCGAAGGGUAUGCUCGUUUGAGUGUCAUUGUACUCUCACACUCUCCGAUCCUAUGGAUUCGGGGAGCGGUGGACUUGGGUGUUGCUGCCUUUCCUUGUGGCUCACCUCAAAUGUGUCAGUGCACCUCUUGGUUGGACAUAGUACGGCGUGAUAAGUGUCUUCGCCGGCACCUCGCAAGAGGGUGGCCGAUCGGGAGCUCUGUGCUUUCAAACCGUCUUCGGACAAUUUCUGACAACUUGACCUCAAAUCGAGUAGGACUACCCGCUGAACUUAAGCAUAUCAAUAAGCGGAGGA